UGCGUAGGCGGUAUUAUAAGUCAGUGGUGAAAUGUUGCAGCUUAACUGUAAAAUUGCCAUUGAAACUGCAGUACUUGAGUUAUCUUGAAGUAGGCGGAAUGUGUAGUGUAGCGGUGAAAUGCUUAGAUAUUACACAGAACACCGAUUGCGAAGGCAGCUUACUAAGGGUAAACUGACGCUGAUGCACGAAAGCGUGGGGAUCGAACAGGAUUAGAUACCCUGGCAGUCCACGCCGUAAACGAUGAUAACUCGCUGUUGGCGAUACACAGUCAGCGGCUUAGCGAAAGCGUUAAGUUAUCCACCUGGGGAUACGCUCGCAAGAGUGAA
rnacentral:rRNA from 1 species